ACGCCUAACGAUUUUAUCAGCAAGUUCUAAAACGCUCUCUGUGUGCCCGCUUAUUCUCCAGAAAGCUGUUACAUGCUGACCGACCGUGGCGAAUUAGAUUUAUUCUAGCAAUUAAUCGCCCCAAAGUGAAAAGUUCAUAGUUUUGUAGUUGUGCAUCUAAAAAUCGCACGCUAUGUUAUAGAUUUUAUAUACUUGGGUUAAAAAAACUCAUAAGAUUAUGACAAAACACAAUGAAAUCGUGAAAAACAAAUACAGAAAACAGUUGUUGAGUUGCAUGUCGAAUGUAGAAGAUAAGGACAGUUUCGUCAUACUGCACUCAUUAAACCUAAAAUUAACAAAUAGUACAAAACAUGCACCAAUUCCUUCUAACCAGAGACCUUAGAGUUAACGUACUCGGCUAUACACACUAGGCCACGCUGAUUUUCUUAGUAUCAUUCACAUAAGCUACAUAUUAUACAUGUAUGUAUUUAAAAAAAUAAAAAUAGACUCAAAAUUAAUCCAUGAGUAAUCCAUGAUAAUCCCUGAUUCUUUCAUUAGGCGCUAGGCGCUGCCCGAACAUACGUAUUCCGAACAAUGAUUGUAUGGUAUACUUAUUAUUAUUUUAUUUUCAAAUUUUUAAUGAAUAAAUUAAAGAAAAAUAAUAUUUUAAUAGAAAUAUUUUAUUUUCUUGUAGGAAUAUUGUAAGGGAUAAUGUAUCUCAUGAAGGAACGGAAUGAUCAAUCUUUUUUCCGGUGUCAUUUCGAUUAUGAUUGAUUUUUUACAUUCAAACCAUGCAGUUGUAGUGGUGGUUUAGCUUAGGUUUGUUUAGCUAAGUUUUUUAAAGGUAAAAUGUUAAGAUUUUCUAGCUAAAUUUUUUGUUGAUGGUUUUUUUUUCAAUAAUAACAUGAUUGGUUUAAAAUCAUUGAUUAAUGAUAACAUAUACAUUAUUUUUAAUUAACUUAUUACUUAGAAAUAGGAAAAACUAAAAUAAGUAAACCAUCCAAUGAAUGAAUAACCAAUUUAGCAAUUUAUCCAUAAAAUUCAAUGAAUAUCUAAGUAAUAAAAGACAAAAUGAGAAAAGAGACAAAAAAACAUAAUUUACUUAAGAUAUUAUGAAAUAUCCAUAAGACUUUUAAUUACAUUUGUUAAUGUAUAGAUGACUUACACUAUUUUAAAGAUUUAUAUUAAUUUAUUUAUUUAUUUUUAUUAAAAGAAUAAUCUUUUAUGAUUUAUAUGUUAGAUACUAGAGUACUAAGGUUGCUCUUACAUAAUUUUAUAUAUAUAAAGUCUCAACCGUACGUCCCUAGAAAAUACAACCAUCAAUUAGAAAACAAACACAUCGUUAAUUAGAAGAGUAUUAGGAUUCUGUCAUCAUCACAUCUUGCUAUCAUGUGUCUCAUCAUGAUUUCUCUUGUUCCUUUACAUCAAUUGGGAAACGCAGAUGAUUUAGAAUUCGACAGAAAAUGCGUCCGUCUCCUUGGAUGUACCGGAAGACGUUGUAUUUGCUGUAACAACGCACCGGAAAUAUUAAAAUGUUAUGAUACACAAGCAGCAUGCAUGGCUCAUUGCACGAACCCAACUAUUUGAGUGGCUUAAAUGUU